rnacentral:rRNA from 1 species
UACGGAGGGUGCAAGCGUUAUCCGGAUUCACUGGGCUUAAAGGGUGCGUAGGCGGGCAUUUAAGUCAGUGGUGAAAUACCUGAGCUUAACUUGGGAACUGCCAUUGAUACUAUUUGUCUUGAAUGUCGUGGAGGUUAGCGGAAUAUGUCAUGUAGCGGUGGAAUGCUUAGAUAUGACAUAGAACACCUAUUGCGAAGGCAGCUAACUACGCGAAUAUUGACGCUGAGGCACGAAAGCGUGGGGGAUCAAACAGG